GAUCUGAAACACAUUACAUUACAUUACAGGCAUUUAGCAGACGCUCUUAUCCAGAGCGACUUACACAACAUUUACAUAGCAUUUUUACAUUGUAUCCAUUUAUACAGCUGGAUAUAUACUGAAGCAAUUUCGGUUAAGUGCCUUGCUCAAGGGUACAACGGCAGUGUCCUACCCGGGAAUCGAACCUGCGACCUUUCGGUUACAAGCCCAGUUCCUUACCCACUGUACUACACUCUUACCCACUAAUUCCACUAUAUGCAAAUGUCAAUGUACUGAAAACUGUAUAAAUCUAAUUACGCAUGAGUACCUGUUGAACUUUCUCGCUGAGUUGUUUCCGUAGCUGGCUGUGUAAUAAAUCUUCCUGUUUUUACUACGAA